CUUAGGAAACCUGGAGAAUGGAGGCCCUAAUUGCAGCUCUGUUCCCCGGAGACUCUGAUUUAAUUGAUGUGGAGAAAGACCUAAGUGUUGGAACUUUUUGGCAAGUUCCACAGGUCAUUAGUUUUUAGCACCUCAUCAUUUUGCUGCCUUGCUUUCCACAUUGAUCCUGCCACUUCUGUGUCAUGGGAUUUAGAGGUUUCAAACCAAAAUCACCCGAGCUGGCUCCAACGCUCACCAGUUGGAUAAUCUUGGACCCUGGCCUUCAAAAUAGGAAAAUAACCCACCAAGAUGAUUGUGAAAAACUAGGAGAGUGAAUGGCCCACUCAAAGAGAUCAAUAAAUGUGGUGCUUUUCUCUUCUUCAA